UACGGAGGGUGCGAGCGUUGUCCGGAAUCACUGGGCGUAAAGGGCGCGUAGGCGGCCUGGCAAGUCGAUGGUGAAAGCCCGAGGCUCAACUUCGGGUCGGCCACUGAUACUGCUGGGCUUGAGUCGACUAGAGGCAGAUGGAAUUCCGGGUGUAGCGGUGGAAUGCGUAGAGAUCCGGAAGAACACCGGUGGCGAAGGCGGUCUGCUGGGGUCGAACUGACGCUGAGACACGAAAGCCAGGGGAGCGAACGGG
rnacentral:rRNA from 1 species